AUGGCUCACGAACUCGCACAUAUACUUGGAUCGCCACAUGACACCACGCCGAAGUGCCCUUGGUCAGAAGGAUAUCUCAUGAGCUAUCUCGACGGAGGCACAAAAACAUACCGGCUUUCAAAGUGCAGUGAAGAAAGCAUACGGAUCCGUGUGAAUAAUUUCCCAG
rnacentral:lncRNA from 1 species